UUCUGGUGAAUAUCACUAUUGUAUAUCAGGUAGUGAGCUCGCCCGUCCCCCGGCGGCGAAAUCUACUGUUCCUCGGCCGGGAGGAGUCGGCGACCUCGGCCGGCAGGAGUCGGCGACGGGCGCCUGAUCUAAACCCGGUGCUUGCUAAGAUGACAGCAGAUUUGCCGGUGGAUACAGUGGACUGCUUGCCAGUUUUCGGGGACGAGGCAUGUAGUGCCGCCGUUCCUAAUGUAACGGCGGCCGGGCUAGCGCAUACGUUGGUUCAAUCAGCCGGUGGAUCCAGAUGGUGGAUUAUUGACGAGGUUUGUGUCUAGCUGCACAGAAUGGUGGCAUUACUCGGGGUGAGCAAAUCAGCGUCGACGGCGGAGGUGGCGCUGUGUCGGACCUGAACGAGAGCGAGGGAGACAAUUUCGAUGCGCUGGACCUGGGUGGAAAGGAGGGCGAUGAACCCUACCCCAUGGAUUCGGUUAUUGCAGAGCAGGCUCAGAGCGCAGAUGGUGCAUAUGCUCAUUCGACAGGGAAGAUUGAUCCUCAAGCUCCUGGUUGGACCAGAAGGUAUAUAUUUUUUCAUUGCUUUUAAGAAUUAGCAUGCAGUAGAAUUUGACACUUAAUGUGUAGUUGAAAUAAUGCGUACCACACGGUGUCUUAACUGUAUCUUGGCUUCAAUAUUAAUCAGAUACAUGUUCUUGGUGUU